rnacentral:rRNA from 1 species
UACGUAGGGGGCAAGCGUUGUCCGGAAUCAUUGGGCGUAAAGAGCGUGUAGGCGGCCAGAUAAGUCCGCUGUGAAAUCUCGAGGCUCAACUUCGAGCUGUCGGUGGAAACUGUCUGGCUAGAGUCUGGAAGAGGAGAAUGGAAUUCCUGGUGUAGCGGUGAAAUGCGCAGAUAUCAGGAAGAACACCCGUGGCGAAGGCGGUUCUCUGGGACGGUACUGACGCUGAGACGCGAAAGCGUGGGGAGCGAACAGG